rnacentral:rRNA from 1 species
AGAGUUUGAUCAUGGCUCAGAUUGAACGCUGGCGGCAGGCCUAACACAUGCAAGUCGAACGGUAACAGGAAGAAGCUUGCUUCUUUGCUGACGAGUGGCGGACGGGUGAGUAAUGUCUGGGAAACUGCCUGAUGGAGGGGGAUAACUACUGGAAACGGUAGCUAAUACCGCAUAACGUCGCAAGACCAAAGAGGGGGACCUUCGGGCCUCUUGCCAUCGGAUGUGCCCAGAUGGGAUUAGCUAGUAGGUGGGGUAACGGCUCACCUAGGCGACGAUCCCUAGCUGGUCUGAGAGGAUGACCAGCCACACUGGAACUGAGACACGGUCCAGACUCCUACGGGAGGCAGCAGUGGGGAAUAUUGCACAAUGGGCGCAAGCCUGAUGCAGCCAUGCCGCGUGUAUGAAGAAGGCCUUCGGGUUGUAAAGUACUUUCAGCGGGGAGGAAGGGAGUAAAGUUAAUACCUUUGCUCAUUGACGUUACCCGCAGAAGAAGCACCGGCUAACUCCGUGCCAGCAGCCGCGGUAAUACGGAGGGUGCGAGCGUUAAUCGGAAUUACUGGGCGUAAAGCGCACGCAGGCGGUUUGUUAAGUCAGAUGUGAAAUCCCCGGGCUCAACCUGGGAACUGCAUCUGAUACUGGCAAGCUUGAGUCUCGUAGAGGGGGGUAGAAUUCCAGGUGUAGCGGUGAAAUGCGUAGAGAUCUGGAGGAAUACCGGUGGCGAAGGCGGCCCCCUGGACGAAGACUGACGCUCAGGUGCGAAAGCGUGGGGAGCAAACAGGAUUAGAUACCCUGGUAGUCCACGCCGUAAACGAUGUCGACUUGGAGGUUGUGCCCUUGAGGCGUGGCUUCCGGAGCUAACGCGUUAAGUCGACCGCCUGGGGAGUACGGCCGCAAGGUUAAAACUCAAAUGAAUUGACGGGGGCCCGCACAAGCGGUGGAGCAUGUGGUUUAAUUCGAUGCAACGCGAAGAACCUUACCUGGUCUUGACAUCCACGGAAGUUUUCAGAGAUGAGAAUGUGCCUUCGGGAACCGUGAGACAGGUGCUGCAUGGCUGUCGUCAGCUCGUGUUGUGAAAUGUUGGGUUAAGUCCCGCAACGAGCGCAACCCUUGUCCUUUGUUGCCAGCGGUCCGGCCGGGAACUCAAAGGAGACUGCCAGUGAUAAACUGGAGGAAGGUGGGGAUGACGUCAAGUCAUCAUGCCCCUUACGACCAGGGCUACACACGUGCUACAAUGGCGCAUACAAAGAGAAGCGACCUCGCGAGAGCAAGCGGACCUCAUAAAGUGCGUCGUAGUCCGGAUUGGAGUCUGCAACUCGACUCCAUGAAGUCGGAAUCGCUAGUAAUCGUGGAUCAGAAUGCCACGGUGAAUACGUUCCCGGGCCUUGUACACACCGCCCGUCACACCAUGGGAGUGGGUUGCAAAAGAAGUAGGUAGCUUAACCUUCGGGAGGGCGCUUACCACUUUGUGAUUCAUGACUGGGGUGAAGUCGAAACAAGGUAACCGUAGGGGAACCUGCGGUUG